CGAUCAAAUUAAAGUGUUGUGAUGAAGAUAGUCUUAAGAUCUUGUCUGCACACACCAGAUAGUUUCUAACAAAUAUGAAGAUCUCUAACAGUCUCUGGUACCAAGGAUUCCUACAUUUUGAUAAAAAACAGGAUGACAACUUUCUAACUGGGGACCACAAGAAAAAUAGUACUUUAUUAACGCAGUGUUUCCUAAAAGUAGUUAAAAAUAAGGAAAGCAUACAUUCUUAGGCUUUGUACUUAUACAGCAACAUAGUUAUUUGCAUAGGUUCAAUAAAAAUCUCUUCUUCCUUUAAUCAGGACACAACUGGAUGACAUGAUUUUGCAACCACAGACUUAGCUAAAGUGUUCUAUUUGGGAAUGAUUCAUAGUGUCUCAGGCAUGACAAGCCACUUUGAAGGAAUCAAGGUCAACUUUACUCAUGUACCUGAUGUCUACAAAGCACCCCAAGGAAAACUAGCUUGGAUGGGCCUUGGCAGUCAAGAUCCCAGCCUUAAGGAAUUAAGGAAGAUCCGUCACUGGCAGGUCAGGAACCUCAGCAAACUGUGGAGCCUCAAGAAGAGAAUUCACCUGAAUUUAGGCCAGAAUAAUUAAGUCCUCAAAGCAGGUAAGUUGGUGAUUUUCCACAAACGAACAGAAACUCCAGCCUGCAGAGGUGUUUAAAGGCAAUUUAAAGUUUUAUGUGGCCUGCCAUCACCAGUGACAGACACCCGAAACCUGAAGGUCCAGGCACAGGGACAGUUACAUCCUGAUACAACCAACCCAGAGGGAAAAGGAGGAUGACACCCACGUGGUCUCAACGCUGUCUGGUCCUGCAGCUCAGACUUCUUCAUUUUGCACAGCAGGGAACAACAUUUAAAAAGUGUUACUGUCCUACUGUAAGCUCUCUCAUCACAGGGCCGGAGCCCUGCACCCAGCAGGCCCUGGAAGAUCAGUAAAUGGAAUCCAACAGGAGCCCGGCAUGUGACUAUCUAUGACACACUUGUAGAGGAAUAACUCAAUCUGAGAACUUUUCAUGCCUCUAGAAAAAGUCACCUGUAAUUCAAGGGACGUAGAAAUGUCAGUAACUUACAGCAAAGGUAUUCUCCAGGAUGCUGGACGUGUCUGUGUCUACUCUUCCGCACUUGAACUGUUGCGAACCUGAGGCCUUUUGCUUCUCUACUUCUGCCACCUCGCUUUCCCUCAUCUCUGCCUCACCCCCCUUAUCACUCCAGACAGGAUAAAAUAUAGCUAUCAAAACACUAAUACGAAUUAACCCAUUUUAAGCUUCAGGGAUUUUUUUUUUUUUAAAGCUUCGUAGCGUUUGGCAACUGUCAGCCAGCCACAAACCCAUCCUCGCAAAUCCAACAAUUUGUGACUUUCUGGGCGAAAUUUCCUCUUCAGGGCCUUUCCGGCCAGUGCCAGCAUCCACCCGCCCCUCCGCACACCCCACGCCCCAGCUGCGGGCCCGUGGCCAGGGCAAGCAACUCCUCUGCGCCCCCAUUUGCAGAAGGAGGAGAACAAUAAUCUCAGAGGGUUUUUCCCCCGUGGGGCUGCGGAGGGAGUGCACGGUGCCCGGCAUACACUCAGCAUCCAGCUUGGCCGCAACGGUGGGCAUCUUCACUGUCCCGGGCGAGGCGGGCCCGGCGGCGGGGGGCCUCCGGCGCUCGGCGGAGGGUGGGAAGACGGGGCCGCACGGGCGCGGC